rnacentral:pre_miRNA from 1 species
UGGAAGACUUGUGAUUUUGUUGUUUCCAGUGUCAGGGAAGCGAACAACAAAUCCCAGUCUCCUCA